rnacentral:lncRNA from 10 species
GUGGGCUGGAGGUGUGGUCAGUUACCUUUAGCUCCUAUCUUGGUCCAUUUGGGCUACCGUAACAAAAUACCGUACACGGCGUGGCUUAGGAGCAUCAGGAAUGUGUGGCUCACAGUUCUGGAAGACGGAGGUCCGAGGUCGAAGGCCCAGCAGCUUCGGUGUCUGGUGCGGAACCGCCUUCCAGCUGCUGCCAGAGGGCAGGAGGCCCGAGUGUGCCAGUCAUCAGUACUUACAGCUCCUUCC